UGAAGGCAAAGAGGCCUCUUUUUUCACAGGCGCUUAAUAUCACUGAGCAUGGUCAUCAGUACUGUAAAAAGAAACAGGAAUGUUAUUUAAAGUCUGUGAUAAAAGACAGGCAACAACAUAAAAGUAUAACUGAUGCAUUUUCAUCUCUCACACCUGUUUCAACGGAUAAUAAGAUAGAUAUUGAAAUUGAUAGCACACCCACAACAGGGACAGAUCAACCAAGAGUACAAACACAUAACCACACCUGCCCAGAGCUAGAGAAAUCACUGAGUCUUGGGGAAGCAUGGGAGGCCAAUUUGAUUGAUACACAAAGCAGAUCCAGCAACACAGGGAGGGUGAGUGUGCCACAUGAGAAAGAAGAGGAAAAUGUCCCAGAAAUAUCAGCAGAAUCAGUUCUGCAUGAGAGCCAACAUUUCCGUUUCACUCCUCAACAUGUAAAAAAUCUUGGCCCUUGCAAAUCAAAACCUAAACUGAAUAGUUCAAAAGGUAGAAGUACUUGGAAUCUGUCUUGUGCGGCACAAAACAUGAGGCAAGAAGAACACAUUAGAAAAACUAUUUUAAAGCCUGUCUCUAAAAGCGUGAUGACUUUAAUUCGAGUCCAAACACUGAAGAAAGGUCUUCAUACUCAAGAGGAAAUCCAACACAAGGCAGAUCUAAAGAUCCCAUUUCCAGAAUCUAGGAAAUCAGAGACUGGUUCCUUACACUGUGAUGGUGUCUGGGAUGGAAAUCCUAGGAGGAAACAAGAUAGUCCCAUUUUCAAGAAAAAGGCAAGGAGUCAGAGUGACUUACUAGGAACAGUCUUAAAGCCUUUAGGUUUCUCCAGCCUUGACUCAUCUGAACCUGAGAGCCAGAGUCAUGCAGUAGAGGCUGUAGGCAAGAAAAGUACAAUGAGUCUCAAGCAGGUAACUCUGGAGGCAGGGAAGCUACCAGUUUUACAGGAGCUUAAUAGCACGAGGUAUCUUACCGGAAGCCAUAGAGAGAAAAACCACAAAGCUAAGACCAAGGCAGGAGAGAAGCAGUGGGAUGAAGGUGCGAGAGAGACAUUAUUCCAUGCCAGUGAGGGAGCUAAGAGUCCACCACCCACGUUAGUGACUGAUAAACUCUCAUCUGAUACAGCAGCAAGGGACAGUCUGGAUAACCAUAGAACACUUCACAAAAAUCUAGGUGAUUUUGUUACAGAGAAAAAGGCAGAGCUGGACAAAAACUUAGCCACAGUUCUCCUGGGGCCUGUCGAUUUAUUCAUGCCUGUUUUAUCUGACUCUGAAAGCCAGAUAAACACAGUGCAAGAGAAAAUCAUACCAAAACGCAAAUGUUCAGUGAUGAAAAAAAAGGAGCCAC
ensembl:lncRNA